ACAACAGACCUCCCCUAGCAGGCCCGACCUCGAAGAUGAGCCCUUGAGCCCCUGCAUAACCCCAGUGUUGAGUGGCUCAGAGAUGAAAGUGGUUUUAUUCAUAAGGGAGAAAGAAAGAUCGGUUAUGCAGUAGUUAGCCGACAAGAAGGCAUUGAGGCCAAAGCUUGACCUCCCCAGACAUCUGCUCAAAAAGUGGAAUUAAUUGGUCUAAUCAGGGUCCUCCAACUGAGAAAAGACUUAAGAGUCAACAUAUUUACCGAUUCCAAAUAUGGGUGCCUGGUGCUCCACGCUCAUGACGCCAUAUGGAAAGAAAAGGGACCGCUAACAGCUAAGGAAUCCCCCACACAGCAUUGCUCUGAGAUCUUGGAAUUGUAGAUGCUGUCCAGCUCCCAAAGGAGGUGGCAGUUACUCACUGCAGGGGACACCAAAAGGGGGACACCUCUAUUAUCCCCUAGGUACAAAACAAACCUCAGAGCUAGCAGAAGACAAGAAAUAACCAAGCUCAGAAUGGAACUGAAGGAGACAGAGACACGGAAAACCCUUCAAAAUAUCAAUGAAUCCAGGCGCUGGGUUUCUUUAAUCAAUAAGUGCUGNNNNNNNNNNCCAGGCUGGAGUGCAAUGGUGUGAUCUCAGCUCACUGCGACCUCUGCCUCCCGGAUUCAAGCAAUGCUCCUGCCUCAGCCUCCUGAGUAGCUGGGAUUACAGGUGCCCACCACUGUUGUUAUCAUCAUACUCCCACCACAGGGUCCUUGCACAAGCAGUUCCUUUUGCCUGCAACGUCCUGCCCCAUCCUGUUCACUCUGAUGACAGUUUCUUUUGCUGAGCAGAAGCUCUUUAGUUUAAUUAGAUCCCAUUUGUCAAUUUUGGCUUUUGUUUCCAUUGCUUUUGGCAUUUUUGUCAUGAAGUCGUUGGCCGUGACUGUGUCCUGAAUGGUAUUGCCUGGGUUUUCUUCUAGGAUUUUUAUGGUUUGGGGUUUUACAUUUAAGUUUUUAAUGGAUCUUGAAUUAAUUUUUGUAUGAGGUGUAAGGAAGAGGUCCAGUUUCAGUUUUCUGCAUAUGGCUAGCCAGUUUUCCCAGCACCAUUUACUGAAUAGAAGAUCCUUCCUCAUUGCUUGUUUUUGUCAGGUUUGUCAAAGAUCAGAUGCUGGUAGAUGUGUGGUGUUAUUUCUGAGGUCCCUGUUCUUCUCCAUUGGUCUAUAGGUCUGUUGUGAUGCCAGUACCAUGCUGUUUUGGUUACUGUAGCCUUGUAAGUGUAGUUUGAAGUCAGGUAGCG
rnacentral:lncRNA from 1 species